rfam:Fischerella sp. JSC-11 ctg112, whole genome shotgun sequence.
CACAGUAAGCUGAAAAUACCCUCCGAUUGCUUAACCAGACCGCCCUACUCUACUAGUGGCGGUUU